ACAUGUCUAAAGAGAAGAAGCAACAAUUUUGCAAGGUCCUUCAUGAUAGAAAAGUUCCAGAUGGUUAUUCCAGUAACAUAUCUAGAUGUAUAAAUGUUGCUCGAGCAAAAAUUAUGGGUCUAAAAAAGUCAUGACUGUCACAUACUAAUGCAACAACUUCUUCCAGUUGCUUUGCGAGGUCUUCUCCCUGAUGAUGUUACAUUUAUUUUAUAUGAUUUAUGCGGGUAUUUUAGAGAAAUGAAUGCAAAAGUGUUCUACAAAGGUGAGCUUGAAAAGUUAGAGGAGCGAAUUAUUAUGACAUUAUGUAGAAUGGAGAUUAUAUUCCCACCUGGAUUUUUUACUAUGAUGGUUCAUCUAGUUCUUCACUUAGCAACAGAGGUAAAAAUAGGUGGUCCUAUCUGCUAUUGAUCAAUGUAUUUUGUGGAGAGGUACCUUGGUGAGUUGAAGUCAAAUGUGAGGAAUAAAGCUCAUCGUGAGGGAUGCAUUGCCGAAUCAAUUUUAGCAAAAGAGGCUAUGACACUUUGUUCAGGAUUUAUUGAUGGUUUUCAAAGCUUACUUAAUAAUCUCUCAAGAAAUGACGAUAAUGAUGAAACACUUGGAUCUUGUAAUGUGCAAGCAUCAACUCUUUUUUCUUAUGGUGGUACGGCACUUGGAAAGCCACACAGUUAUGUUACAAGAGGAUUGGCAAAAGUACACCACAUAGAUACGUGCUAUUCAAUUGUUCUGAUGACCCGUACCUUAGAGCUCAUGCUGAAGAGAUCACAGCUAAGCAUAAUGGAUGUCGAGUGAGCCAUAGGGAUAUCGAGAAAAUGCAAAAUGAGAAGUUUCAUCAAUGGUUUAGAGAUCAAUGGUUUAAAGGUCAUAUUAUGCAGAUCGAGAGGGAAAGUGGCAUUCACAUUUUGAAAGAUAGGAUAAGAUGGCUAGCCCGUGGCCUGGUUGAAGCAGAAAAAAGGUAUCAUGCUUUCAAUAGUCGAGGUUUGCGAUUUAGGCCCAAAUGGUUGGAUGGGGUGAUACAAAGUAGUGGAGUGGUGCUGACUGCGAAAACAUCCAGUUAUGCUUGUGCAAGUGAUGCCAGACCAGUUUUAGGCAAUGUGACUUACUAUGGGAGGAUAAUUAAUAUUAUUGAGCUGCACUAUUCUGGAAAUUUUUCAAUGGUAUUUUUCAAAUGUGAAUGGGUUGAUGUUGUAUUUGGGAGAGGAAUUAAAAAGGACAAAUAUGGCUACACACUUGUCAA